UAAGGAAUAUUGCGCAAUGGGGGAAACCCUGACGCAGCGACGCCGCGUGAGUGAUGAAGGCCUUCGGGUUGUAAAGCUCUGUUCUCAGGGAAGAAAAAAAUGACGGUACCUGAGAAGAAAGGACCGGCUAACUUCGUGCCAGCAGCCGCGGUAAGACGAGGGGUCCUAGCGUUGCUCGGAAUCAUUGGGCGUAAAGCGGGUGUAGGUGGCUUAGUAAGUCAGAAGUGAAAGCCCUGGGCUCAACCCAGGAAGUGCUUUUGAAACUGCUUUGCUUGAGUGUAGGAGAGGGCAGUAGAAUUCCAGGUGUAGUGGUGAAAUACGUAGAUAUCUGGAGGAAUACCGGAGGGGAAGCCGGCUGCCUGGCCUAACACUGACACUCAGACCCGAAAGCGUGGGGAUC
rnacentral:rRNA from 1 species